UUCCGGUUGAUCCUGCCGGACCUGACUGCUAUCGGAUUGAUAUUAAGCCAUGCUGAGUCAUUGUAGCAAUACAAGGCAUACGGCUCAGUAACACGUAGUUAAUCUAACCUAUGGACGGGGAUAAUCUCGGGAAACUGAGGGUAAUACCCGAUAGAUCAUUAUGCUUGGAAUAGUUUAUGAUCCAAAUGAUUUCGCCAUAGGAUGAGACUGCGGCCUAUCAGCUAGUUGGUGUGGUAAUGGCUCACCAAGGCUAUAACAGGUACGGGCUCUGAGAGGAGGAGCCCGGAGAUGGGUACUGAGACACUGACCCAGGCCCUAUGGGGCGCAGCAGGCGAGAAAACUUUGCAAUGUGCGAAAGCACGACAAGGUUAGUCCGAGUGAUUCCUGUUGAAGGAAUCUUUUGUUAGUUUUAAAAUCACUAAAGAAUAAGGGGUGGGCAAGUUCUGGUGUCAGCCGCCGCGGUAAAACCAGCACCUCAAGUGGUCAGGAUGAUUAUUGGGCCUAAAGCAUCCGUAGCCGGCUAGAUAAGUUUUCGGUUAAAUCUAUACGCUUAACGUAUAGGCUGCUGAAAAUACUAUGUAGCUAGGGAGUGGAAGAGGUAGACGGUACUUGAUAGGAAGGGGUAAAAUCCUUUGAUCUAUUGAUGACCACCAGUGGCGAAGGCGGUCUACCAGAACACGUUCAACGGUGAGGGAUGAAAGCUGGGGGAGCAAACCGGAUUAGAUACCCGGGUAGUCCCAGCUGUAAACAAUGCAAACUCAGUGAUGCAUUGGCUUAUUGCUAAUGCAGUGCUGCAGGGAAGCCGUUAAGUUUGCCGCCUGGGAAGUACGUACGCAAGUAUGAAACUUAAAGGAAUUGGCGGGGGAGCACCACAAGGGGUGAAGCCUGCGGUUCAAUUGGAGUCAACGCCGGA
rnacentral:rRNA from 1 species